rnacentral:rRNA from 1 species
CCUGAACGCUGGCGGCGUGGCUAAGACAUGCAAGUCGCACGGGCCUCGCAAGAGGUCAGUGGCGAACGGGUGAGUAAAGAAUCGCUAACGUACCCCGGACUCUGGGAUAGCUACCCGAAAGGGUGGGUAAUACCAGAUGAUAUAACUUUCCUGCAUGGGAGAGUUCUCAAAGGCCGCCGGCAACGGUGGAACGGUCUGGGAGCGGGCGAUUUCGUAUCAGCUAGUUGGUGAGGAACGGCUCACCAAGGCGAUGACGCGUAGCCGGACUGAGAGGUUGGCCGGCCACAUUGGGACUGAGACACUGCCCAGACUCCGUACGGGGGGCUGCAGUAACGAAUCUUCCGCAAUGCACGCAAGUGUGACGGAGCGACGCCGCGUGUGGGACGAAGCCCUUCGGGGGUGUAAACCACUGUCGAGGGGAC